rnacentral:tmRNA from 1 species
GGGGACGAGUGGGUUCGACAGGGAAGGUCGGGCCCGGACAGCAGGCCGAGGUCGCCGCAGGCCUCGUUAAACAGGCGGCAAAAAGUAACUGGCGAGCGCGAGCUUGCCCUUGCCGCCUAAGGUUUAGGCGGCACGUCGCCCUGGCCUCCCCCCUGGGGGUCGGGAGCGGCGCCAGAGACCAGGGGUGCAGCCUCCUGGCGCCACCGAGGGGGGCCUAAGAGGAGGUGGCUGGCCCGUCGGCACGCAGCCGACGGCGGUACGGCGGGCGAGAAGUAAGCGUCGGCUAUGCCUGUAGGUGGUCCGGGUGGGUCUUCGCCUGGACGAGGGGUUCGACUCCCCUCCGUCUCCACCA